CCCAAGUGGUCUGAUCUCUUGGUAAUCAUACCUUUCUUAAGGCUGGAGGAUCACUUGAGCCUAGGAGUUAUUGGCUGUAGUGAGCAAUGCCGAGCCUGUGUCCACACUACGUUGGUCAUCAAUAUGGUGACCUCCAGGGAGUGGGGGUCUUCCAGGUUGCCUAGGCAGGGUGAACCUGCCCAGGUCAGAAACAGAGGAGGUCAAAACUCCAGUGCUGAUCAGUAGUGGGAUCACGCCUGUGAAUAGCCCUGCUCUCCAGCCUGGGCAACAUAGCGAGACCCCCGU
ensembl:misc_RNA Metazoa_SRP Metazoan signal recognition particle RNA